GCAAGAUUGUGUAGUCUCCUAUCUCUGAACUUUAUUUUGAUCAAAACAGCAGUACUGAACAAUCCGUAUCUCAUGAAAAGCCACCAGUUAGCACCACUGAUACAUCUCUUUCUUCUGGCAAUGGAGCUUUGGAUCCUAUGCACAUAUCUCCUUGUUCUACUAACCACUUAGAUGGCAUACAUGAUGACAACACUCACACGAUUCUCAAGAUUUGCAAAUCAACAAAACCUGGAAGAAGGGAAUCACCAGAAGCCAUAAAGAUGUGGAAAGAAAAUGGUUUUACUAGCCUAAUAAUUACAUCUAUAGAGCUGGAAACUUGGAGCAUAGUUCAAGAGCUUCUACCACUUCUUUCGAAUUCAGUGCCAUUUGCCAUUUAGCAUCAAUAUCUUCAGUCCCAGCCAAAACCCGUCCUGUUUCAGUGAUGAGUUCUGAUCCCAACCAAUCCGACAGUCUGGUCCAUUCCAGUUAAGUAAACACCAGUCAUUGCUGAGGCUCAUCAAACUGGAAGCUCCUCAUUGAUCAAGAAGGCUGUCAAACUUUUUACUCCUAGAGGGAACAUGUUGGAGUUGUGUCAUGAGCUACGCUUACCCUUUGUUAAUUGGGUUAUAACAAACCAGGAAGACUUUGACAGGGAACAUAAAUUUUGGGGUGAAGCAACCAGUAGUAUGGUGCCUGAUAGUGUAAACAUCCACCUCUAACAAUCAUGUGUUUCUUUCUUCUGCAAGAUAUCCUAAUUGACAAAAAGAGAUGCAUGAACAUGGAUCUAUCUGAUGUAUAAUGUUUUCUAUCAGAGUUUUGGUCACUUGAUGGAUGCUUGGUUUCAUGCUGUUAUUCCUGAUAUGCUACUUAACUUGACAUGCCUAAUUAAUGCAGAAAUUCCAACAUGUCUGUGCUAGAUUAUUGAUGUCGUAUCUAUCAGGGUAUGUAUCUAUUAGGGAAUGCUCAAAAUAAAAUGUCAAAAUACUAUUAGAUGUUUGCGUUUA